AAUAAUUGUGUUUGCUCGCAAACGAAAAAAAACCGACUUCAAUCACAUCGACGAGUAAUACAACGUAGAUCGACGAAAAAAUAGUCAAGUAACUACGCGUUAUCAAAGAUUACUCAAUAAGUAUUUAUCAGAUCUCGAUAAAAUUUAUAUGUGACCACAUAUAAACAUCAGCUUUCGAUUAAAUUAAAAAUUACCAAAUCAAAAUCAAAUCGGUACAUCCAGUAAAAAGUUAUUGCAAAUUUUCGAGAGUUUCCCUCGAUUUCUCCAGGAUCUCAUCAUCAGAUCCUGGUUUCCUUAUCAUGGUACCAAACUAGGGAUAUCCUCUUUCCAACAAAAAAAGAAUUAUCAAAAUCGGUACAUCCAGUAAAAAGUUAUGCGGUAUAAUACAACGUAGGUCGACGAAAAUAGCGUCAAGUAAAAA
rnacentral:misc_RNA from 1 species